UACGGAGGGUGCAAGCGUUGUCCGGAAUUACUGGGCGUAAAGGGCUCGUAGGCGGCCAACUAAGUCAGACGUGAAAUCCCUCGGCUUAACCGGGGAACUGCGUCUGAUACUGGAUGGCUAGAGGUUGGGAGAGGGAUGCGGAAUUUCCGGUGUAGCGGUGAAAUGCGUAGAUAUCGGAAGGAACACCAGUGGCGAAAGCGGCUUCCUGGUCCAGCACCGACGUUCAGGCACGAAAGCGUGGGGAGCAAACAGGG
rnacentral:rRNA from 1 species